rnacentral:lncRNA from 1 species
AGGCAAAACUACACAAAUACACUGCCUCUGGACAACAAUUGAUUCUUCAAUAUCCUAUUCUCAAUCCUUCCAAUGUCAUCGCAGUUCAUGACAUUGCAUUUUUUUAAAUCCCAAAAGUUCAAAAACCAAAAGAAAAAACGUCUAAAACCGCAAGAUUGACAGGAAAAAACGCAAACAAUACUUCUACAUAGAGAAACAGAGAAGCAUGUAUGUUUUCACAAAUGCAUGUAUUUCGACUCUUUGACCUGUGAAAUGCCAUGAUUGAAAAAUUUUGGAGAAAAAAAAAUGAUGUGAAUGAAAUGCCUAACCUGACCACCCACCCGCCCGGCCCAGAAUGAAAUGCAUAACCCGACCAGACACCCAACCACCUGGCCCACUAACCCCGACCUGAGCCCCCCAAAUAUAACAUGAUGAAUGAAAAUAAUGAGAUUGAAUGCAAAUCGACUCCAAGAACUUAUGUAUGACCAAUGCAAGAGAAAGACAGACCAGAAAACAUUUUUUUUAAAAAAACUGAUUUUUGAUGAAAAAGAAAAUUUAAAAAUUAGGGAAGAAAAACUGCAGCGGGUAGGUGGGUUGGCUGGCUCAAGGUAUCAUGCCAACCAAAGCUCUGGGGGCUUAUCUUGUCCCGAUCAAGGAUGACAUGAUGAAUGAAAAUAAUGAGAUUGAAUGCAAAUCGACUCCAAGAACUUAUGUAUGACCAAUGCAAGAGAAAGACAGACCAGAAAACAUUUUUUUUAAAAAAACUGAUUUUUGAUGAAAAAGAAAAUUUAAAAAUUAGGGAAGAAAAACUGCAGCGGGUAGGUGGGUUGGCUGGCUCAAGGUAUCAUGCCAACCAAAGCUCUGGGGGCUUAUCUUGUCCCGAUCAAGGAUGACAUGGAGAAUAUCUUGUUUUGACCACCGGGAGAGACCACCAAGGACGCACAAAGCACAGAAAUGCAAUGCAGACUGAAUUGUUCAUUCAGCACAGUA